GUAUCGUUAGCACAGUGGUCAGUACAGUCAGCCGGGAACAGAAAGACGCGGGUUCAAUUCCCGUCCGAUGUG
rnacentral:tRNA from 1 species